UACGGAGGGUGCAAACGUUGCUCGGAAUCAUUGGGCGUAAAGCGCACGUAGGCGGCCUGAUAAGUCGGGUGUGAAAGCCCUGGGCUCAACCCAGGAAGUGCACUCGAAACUGUCAGGCUUGAAUAUGGAAGAGGGUCGCGGAAUUCCCGGUGUAGAGGUGAAAUUCGUAGAUAUCGGGAGGAACACCAGUGGCGAAGGCGGCUCACUGGCCCGAUACUGACGCUGAUGCACGAAAGCGUGGGGAGCAAACAGG
rnacentral:rRNA from 1 species